rnacentral:rRNA from 1 species
UCCUUGGUGCUCUUUGCUUAGUUGGACCCACUCCAAUCCAUCUCGAACUUGGAUGUGAAAAAGCUAAGGGUUAAUCAAUACUAUACGGGCCGCUGUAUGGAAAAGAUUAACUAGUGCCAGGGA